rnacentral:lncRNA from 1 species
UUGUAGAGCUUUGGAAAUCUCAACGGAUUUCAGGGCUAUCCCCCUUGGCAGGAGAGAGCCCCACUGGAGCCUCCUGGAAUCCUUCCUUCAUGACCCUGAAGAACUGCCCUCCAGACCCGCAGGUGUGACCCAGAAUCAAGGAUCUCAAAGCCAAGUGGGAUCUGAGAGGCUAUCUAGACCAAUCCUCCAUUACAGACGUAUACCUUUUGAUGACUUCACUUCAGAGCCCAAAAUAUUUGCACUGCAGGCAGAAUCACCUAAAUCACUUGAUGCGAUGUUCAGUCUUCCCGUGGGCUGGAGAUGAUGUUGACCAACGGCCUUGGGAGGAGGGGUUGCAGCUGAGUCCACACCCUCUCAAACUCCUUCAGACUGUUUUUGUAGACUACUUUACCAUUAACAACAAAUCCUAAGAUUUACUCAAUUAGUACAGCAGUCGUUGGCCAGAGUUCAAAUUUCUGAUUCGAAGGAAUCUGCACUCUGCCUGCCAGGAUCGACUAUUAAUGGCUUCGUCCGUAGAGGAGCUAUGUCUUUGCUCACUAGGGAAGAGUAUUGAGGCUUCGAAAGGGGUAUUUUGCUGGUCACCUCCUGGUCAUCCUUCUGCUCACCAAGAACAGAUACUGUUCUC